rnacentral:rRNA from 1 species
GAUGAACGCUAGCUACAGGCUUAACACAUGCAAGUAGAGGGACCGGCGCACGGGUGAGUAACGCGUAUCCAACCUUCCCAUUACUGUGGGAUAACCUGCCGAAAGGCAGACUAAUACCGCAUGGGAAUGGAUGGGGAGGCGUCUGAUUAGCUUGUUGGUGAGGGAACGGCUCACCAAUACUUCAGUCAGUAGGAGUUCUGAGAGGAAGGUCCCCCACAUUGGAACUGGGACAAGGUCCAAACUCCUACGCGAGUCAGCAGUGAGGACUAUUGGUCAAUGGAUGCAAAUCUGAACCAGCCACGUAGCGUGCAGGAUGACGGCCUAUGGGUUGUAAACUGCUUUUAUGUGAGGAUAUGUAUCACAUGAAUAAUGACCGGCUAAUUCCGUGCCAGCAGCCGCGGUAAUUC